ACCCGGCUGGUGGGGGUCGAGCACCCGGUCGUGCAGACCGGGAUGGGCUGGGUCGCCGGCCCCCGGCUGGUCUCGGCGACCGCCGAAGCC
rnacentral:tRNA from 1 species